CCUCGCCUCCCUCUCCUUCGCCUCCCUCUCCUUCGCCACCGUCGCCUUCGCCUCCCUCUCCUUCGCCUCCAUCUCCCUCGCCACCCUCUCCCUCGCCUCCCUCUCCUUCGCCACCGUCGCCUUCGCCUCCCUCUCCUUCGCCUCCAUCUCCCUCGCCACCAUCUCCUUCGCCUCCCUCUCCUUCACCUCCCUCUCCUUCACCUCCCUCUCCUUCACCUCCCUCUCCUUCACCUCCCUCUCCCUCGCCACCAUCCCCCAAGCCGCCAUCUCCCUCGCCACCAUCCCCCAGCCCCCCCUCUCCAUCACCUCCGAUUUCCUCUUGCGACAUGUGUAUUGACCUGACGAUUGAUCCAGCCCGAGUGUUUCCGCCGUACCAGUUUGACAGUUUCACAUGUGAAGUAGUGCAGACCUCUAUUUCGUACGAUAUUAACGAAAAGGCCGCCUCGAUGGGCCUUAUGCUGGCGCAAAACUUCUCGGUCGACGCCAGCAAGUGCAGCUCUGAUAAGAUCAUUGUUUGCGGGAAGUUUGCUUCGGAGUCUGAUGCUGCGCAGCUGGAGGAGUGGACUCGAAUUCAGGCGGAGCAGUUUUGGCUGUACUCGUUUGCAAGCGCCUGCACUCCCGUCAUGUAUGGCUACUCGUUCCGGAUUACGACCGACAAGUGCAUGGAUGUUGUAAAGUCGCGGACUUGCUCUUUGGUACAGAGCGAUUUUCCUUUUUGCGGGUAAGUGGGGUUGAAAAUCAGGGUGUAACAAUUUGUUGGUGUUCGACGAGUAGUUCGUGUAACGUCUUCAUGUCGGCGUUUGGUAAUUAUGCAAUUCGUUUUUGUCUAUGAGCUGAGUUGCCGUCCUUGCGUGCUGCUAAACGCUCCAACGUUGUUGAUACAACAGGUGCCAACGGAAACGCUACUCGACACCCUUCUACGUGAGCCCUUCGGCGUCGUCUGAGCAAGGCCGUACAAGUGAUACGACACUGUACUGCUUCACCUUGGGCGUCCUUCCAAAUGAAUUUGCUCUGCUGCCGGUAGGCUACAACACAAUUGCAUUAAGUGGGCGCAAGAGCUCUGCUUUACUCUUUCCCGUCGUGUGACCCUUUCACUUUUGUGUUCAUGCAGGGCCGCUGCAACUCGAGCAGUAAGGUGGCCAAGGUCGAGAUUUGGGCUAGUGAGUUUGUGCCGCGCGAACGAAGGACAGACUUUGAUUGUUUGCUGCCCUCGUUGUGUAAACCGUUGUUUCUGUUUCUGUGCGGCAUCUUGCUCAGUGCUUGGUCUUGCGCUGACGGCCUUACCAUUGGGCACGUCCAUGACCUCUGUCUUGCGCAAAUGGUUGCUCACCCGCUCUAUCAAUUUACCUGCGCUUCAGACGAGGACCGCCGCGGCAAGCUGCGGGGAUUUCGCCUCUCGACUCCCGACGGCAAGACCAGGUGGCUGUCCCCAUCCUGGGGCGACAAGGGCAGCAACACGGCCAAAGGUAGGCAACGGAUACUGGUCGCCAUUACUACAUGAACAGCGGCAUUCCUGCGCCUUCCUCGUGCGUCUUAACUAGCUGCAACAAUACAGGUGCUGCUGACCGCCGCUUGUUCUUUUUUCCUGCUUGUUAAUCAUGGCCUAUCAGCGUACAUACGAGGACUUUGCAAUUUACUAUUGCUAGGUCGGUUAUUUAUUUUUACUAGCUUAUUUAUUGCUACAUCGUUUAUUUUUAUUUACCCCGCCUUCCUCCCGCAAAUUCUUAACCUCACUGCGUGCAGUUUCUGGCCUGACUUGGAACCGGGCAACUGCUAACGGUGCAGAGAUUUGUAUGGAGCUGAAGAACGAUAUCACUUUGCAAGAGUUUUGCGUGUCUAAUGUCUGGUAAGUCAGUGUGACGUGCUUCGCAGUGCUUCGCUCGCUCGCUCCUGGCCGUUGCUGUGCGAGCUGCUGCUGCUGCUUUUACGCCGUUGUAUUUCCCCGAGUUCUUGCAACGGUCCAGUAUUAGAUCGUACCCCACGCGAUCCUAUGCAAGGCGUGUUUGAACGCGCGCACGUGUUCCGCGUAUUGAAGUGCUUUCCCGCCCUCUUCCCCGGCCUCUACCUCGCAUGGCAUGCACUGCUCGACUACCAACCUAACUACGUGGACGGAAUGUGCACAGCUCCAUCUCACUGUUCGAUGGCCACUCUUCAAACGCCUGCUGCCCUACAUACCAAUCAGCUGUGGCUUAGGGUCAACGUUCAUGAGUACGGUCAACAUUUCGGUAGUCGUUGGGCGGCAGCAUUCGCAACAUGGCUUGGAGAAAUGAAAAAAUAAAGCUUCUUCUUGAUUGGGUGGUAAUGCUUUGUUUUGGGCUGAUCGGUACCGCGUACUUACCACACGCGCUUGCGCCUCUUAUUGAUCGCAUAAUAACCUUUGUGGAAGGGCGGGCAGUAAAUUCUUGAGUGCAGGUUUGAGUGCAGGUUUGCCAGCAAGCGCAUAGAAAGGUAAUUUAUAUAUCUUCUUUUUCCUGCUUACUACACAUUCGUAUGCUUUGUAUGCUUUUGCAGUAUGCGUGCGCGGCAGUGAUGCUAGGUUUGAAGCAUCUUCGUCUCAUUUCUCCUUCUAUUUACGGCUGCCAAAUUGUUAUGUUCCUUAUCAUUGUUUGAUCAAGCUUAUCGUCUUGCUUCCGUUUCUAGCAGCGUGUUUUGCGUCUCCUGUCGUCUGCUGCUGGUGUUCGCUUGCGCUAACUGAUAGCUUAGUAAUCGUCUUGCAUGCAACUACUGUUAUAUCUUGCGCCCCAAGCUUACUUGCCAUCCUGGCAAUGUCAUCGGCGGCGGGCCGCCCCAUUGAUAUGGCACACUUGGCUAAUGCGUGUGAAGAAGGACUCACGUGCAGACAUCGGUUUCGUUUNNNNNNNNNNNNNNNNNNNNNNNNNNNNNNNNNNNNNNNNNNNNNNNNNNNNNNNNNNNNNNNNNNNNNNNNNNNNNNNNNNNNNNNNNNNNNNNNNNNNNNNNNNNNNNNNNNNNNNNNNNNNNNNNNNNNNNNNNNNNNNNNNNNNNNNNNNNNNNNNNNNNNNNUCCCCUGAACCGCCAUCUCCCUCGCCACCAUCUCCCUCGCCACCAUCUCCCUCGCCACCAUCUCCCUCACCACCAUCUCCCUCACCUCCCUCUCCUUCGCCUCCCUCUCCUUCGCCACCCUCCCCCAAGCCGCCAUCUCCUUCGCCACCCUCUCCUUCGCCACCCUCUCCUUCGCCACCCUCUCCUUCGCCACCAUCCCCCAAGCCACCAUCUCCCUCGCCACCAUCUCCUUCGCCUCCCUCUCCUUCGCCUCCCUCUCCUUCGCCACCCUCUCCUUCGCCACCAUCCCCUGAACCGCCAUCUCCCUCGCCACCAUCUCCCUCACCUCCCUCUCCUUCGCCUCCCUCUCCUUCGCCACCCUCCCCCAAGCCGCCAUCUCCUUCG
rnacentral:lncRNA from 1 species